rnacentral:rRNA from 1 species
GAUGAACGCUGGCGGCGUGCCUAAUACAUGCAAGUCGAGCGAACAGACGAGUAGCUUUCUCCUCUGUCGUUAGCGGCGGACGGGUGUGUAACACAUGGAUAACCUACCUAUCAGACUGGUAUCACUUCGGGAAACCGAAUCACCUACCAGAACACCUUGUGAAGCCCUUUGUUCAUUGUUAAACCGCGAUUUUUCUCUCACUUACAGACGGAUCCGCGCCUCAUUAGCUAGUUGGUAAGGUACCGGCUCACCGAGGCAACGAUGCGUAGCCGACCUGAGCGGGUGAUCAGCCACACUGGAACUGAGACACGGUCCAGACUCCGACGGGAGGCAGAAGUAGGGAAUCUUCAGCAAUGGGCGAGAGCCUGACGGAGCAACGCCGCGUGAGUGAUGAAGGUCUACGGAUCGUAAAACUCUGUUAUUAGUGAAGAACAAAUAUGUAAGUAACUAGGCACGUCUUGACGGUACCUAAGCAGAAAGCCACGGCUAACUACGUG